rnacentral:rRNA from 1 species
AGUUUGAUCCUGGCUCAGGAUGAACGCUGGCGGCGUGCCUAAUACAUGCAAGUCGAGCGAACGGACGAGAAGCUUGCUUCUCUGAUGUUAGCGGCGGACGGGUGAGUAACACGUGGAUAACCUACCUAUAAGACUGGGAUAACUUCGGGAAACCGGAGCUAAUACCGGAUAAUAUUUUGAACCGCAUGGUUCAAAAGUGAAAGACGGUCUUGCUGUCACUUAUAGAUGGAUCCGCGCUGCAUUAGCUAGUUGGUAAGGUAACGGCUUACCAAGGCAACGAUGCAUAGCCGACCUGAGAGGGUGAUCGGCCACACUGGAACUGAGACACGGUCCAGACUCCUACGGGAGGCAGCAGUAGGGAAUCUUCCGCAAUGGGCGAAAGCCUGACGGAGCAACGCCGCGUGAGUGAUGAAGGUCUUCGGAUCGUAAAACUCUGUUAUUAGGGAAGAACAUAUGUGUAAGUAACUGUGCUUAUCUUGACGGUACCUAAUCAGAAAGCCACGGCUAACUACGUGCCAGCAGCCGCGGUAAUACGUAGGUGGCAAGCGUUAUCCGGAAUUAUUGGGCGUAAAGCGCGCGUAGGCGGUUUUUUAAGUCUGAUGUGAAAGCCCACGGCUCAACCGUGGAGGGUCAUUGGAAACUGGAAAACUUGAGUGCAGAAGAGGAAAGUGGAAUUCCAUGUGUAGCGGUGAAAUGCGCAGAGAUAUGGAGGAACACCAGUGGCGAAGGCGACUUUCUGGUCUGUAACUGACGCUGAUGUGCGAAAGCGUGGGGAUCAAUCAGGAUUAGAUUCCCUGGUAGUCCACGCCGUAAACGAUGAGUGCUAAGUGUUAGGGGGUUUCCGCCCCUUAGUGCUGCAGCUAACGCAUUAAGCACUCCGCCUGGGGAGUACGACCGCAAGGUUGAAACUCAAAGGAAUUGACGGGGACCCGCACAAGCGGUGGAGCAUGUGGUUUAAUUCGAAGCAACGCGAAGAACCUUACCAAAUCUUGACAUCCUUUGACAACUCUAGAGAUAGAGCCUUCCCCUUCGGGGGACAAAGUGACAGGUGGUGCAUGGUUGUCGUCAGCUCGUGUCGUGAGAUGUUGGGUUAAGUCCCGCAACGAGCGCAACCCUUAAGCUUAGUUGCCAUCAUUAAGUUGCGCACUCUAAGUUGACUGCCGGUGACC